UACGGGGGGGCAAGCGUUGUUCGGAAUUACUGGGCGUAAAGGGCUCGUAGGUGGCCAACUAAGUCAGACGUGAAAUCCCUCGGCUUAACCGGGGAACUGCGUCUGAUACUGGAUGGCUUGAGAUUGGGAGAGGGACGCGGAAUUCCAGGUGUAGCGGUGAAAUGCGUAGAUAUCUGGAGGAACACCGGUGGCGAAGGCGGCAUCCUGGACCAACACUGACACUGAGGAGCGAAAGCCAGGGGAGCAAACGGG
rnacentral:rRNA from 1 species